rnacentral:rRNA from 1 species
CCUACGGGUGGCUGCAGUAGGGAAUCUUACACAAUGGGCGAAAGCCUGAUGGAGCAACGCCGCGUGUGUGAUGAAGGCUUUCGGGUAGUAAAGCACUGUUGUAUGGGAAGAACAGCUAGAGUAGGGAAUGACUUUAGUUUGACGGUACAAUACCAGAAAGGGACGGCUAAAUACGUGCCAGCAGCCGCGGUAAUACGUAUGUCCCGAGCGUUAUCCGGAUUUAUUGGGCGUAAAGCGAGCGCAGACGGUUAAUUAAGUCUGAUGUGAAAGCCCGGAGCUCAACUCCGGAAAGGCAUUGGAAACUGGUUAACUUGAGUGCAGUAGAGGUAAGUGGAACUACAUGUGUAGCGGUGGAAUGCGUAGAUAUAUGGAGGAACACCGGUGGCGAAAGCGGCUCUCUGGACUGUAACUGACACUGAGGCUCGAAAGCGUGGGUAGCA